rnacentral:rRNA from 1 species
UACGUAGGUGGCAAGCGUUGUCCGGAUUUACUGGGCGUAAAGAGCGCGCAGGCGGUCGGAUAAGUCGAAUGUGAAAGCCCCCGGCUCAACUGGGGAGGGUCAUUCGAUACUGUUCGACUCGAAGGCAGGAGAGGGAAGUGGAAUUCCCGGUGUAGCGGUGAAAUGCGUAGAGAUCGGGAGGAAGGCCGGUGGCGAAGGCGGCGCUCUGGAACGUACCGUGGACGCUGAGACACGAAAGCGUGGGGAGCAAACAGGG